rnacentral:lncRNA from 1 species
ACCUAAAAGCAUCAACGUGGUCGUGGAAGCAUGCUGCUGCACUCGUCGAAGCUCAUGAUGGGUGUUUGUAGCUUGUCAUUGUGCUAACGCCACAAACAGAAAUAUUGAAAAUGGCCCUAAUAAAAGAAAGUGCCUCUACCACAACACCAAUAAUCAUAAGUUUAUGUAUCUCUGGUUUGUGCUUCUACCCGUCCGUCCUGACCCUAAUAAAACAAAGUGUCUCUACCACAACACAAAUGACCAUAAUAUAUGUCACUACAACAACGCUUUCUUGAACACUGAUAAACGGAUUCGUGCUUCUGCUCGUCCGUCCUGACUUUGCCCCUGAAGUUUCAAACAAUUACCCACCACUGCCAUCCAUAAGUGGUAGAAAAUGAUUCGAUAAAUAUCCAAAAAGGAGACCUGCCAGACCCGACCCUUCUUCCCCAAUCAGGGAAACGAUUUGCUAAAGAUUGAGAAAAUACAAACACCCACCACUGCCAUCCAUAAGUUGUAGAAAAUGAUUUGCUAAAUAUCCGGAAAAAAAAGAGCUGCCCGACCAAACCCUUGUUCCCCACUCUGAAAUAAAAUUUCCUAAAGAUCCGGAAAAACAAUAACCCACCACUCCCAUCCAUAAGUGGUAGAAACUGAAUCGCAAAAUAUCCGAAAAAAGAGGUGACCGACCAGCUCAUUUGUCGCUAAUCUUGAAAACAAUUUGCUAAAGAUCCGAAAAACAAUUACGCACCACUGGCAUCCAUAAGUGUUAGAAAACGAUUCGCUAAAGAUCCGGAACAAAAAAGAGCUGCCCGACCCGACCCUUGUUCCCCAAUCUGGAAAACUAUUUGAUUCAGAAAAAAUUGUCCAACUCGACCCUUCUUCACCCAAUCCAGAUGGCCUGCAGUUAUAAAGAAAAUCGAACGACCUAGCCUUCCCGUGCGCUGCCGACGUUUCCCACCACACAAACCUCCCCGUGGCUGCCGCCUCUGGCGCCCAAGAACCACUGCCACAGCUUCCUGCUAGGCCAUUCACCGGUGUCAAGGUUUCCCAUCGCUAUCGGCUCACAGGUGCCCAUCCGCCAUAUCAAGGGCCUCAUGCCCCACGCUUCCUUGGACUCUGAGCGCUGCUGCCUCCAGCCACCUGCGAGCCUCCGCCAGACCACCCUGUCGCCGAUGAUCCAUCGUGUCUCCACUGGAAUAACUACAUAUAUCAGAGCUGCUGGAGGCCUCAGCCCACACCGCCUAAAUAAACCGCAAAUGACAAACACCGAAGUCCUAAUUAUUGAAAAUUUUACAUCACAAAGUGCAGCCAGAUCCUAGGCGGAUCCAAGGUCGGAGCGGAUACGAGAGGGGGGAGAGGGGUUGAGAUAUUACCGGCUAGGCGAACUCAAUCAGGAUGAAGGUGCCCUUGACCUUGGACCCGCGGAGCACCUCGAGGGCGGUCUGACACUCGGCGAUGGAGCGG